UUUGAUCCUGCCGGACCUGACUGCUAUCGGAUUGGUACUAAGCCAUGCGAGUCGUUGUAGCAAUACAAGGCGGACUGCUCAGUAACACGUAGUUAACUUAACCUAUGGAUGGGAAUAACCUCGGGAAACUGAGAAUAAUACCCAAUAGACCACAGUGCCUGGAAUGGCCUGUGGUUGAAAUGAUUUAUCGCCGUAGGAUAGGACUGCGGCCUAUCAGCUUGUUGGUGAGGUAAUGGCCCACCAAGGCUAUAACAGGUACGGGCUCUGAGAGGAGGGGCCCGGAGAUGGGUACUGAGACACGGACCCAGGCCCUAUGGGGCGCAGCAGGCGAGAAACCUUUGCAAUGUGCGAAAGCACGACAAGGUUAAUCCGAGUGUCUCCUGCUAAAGGAGUCUUUUGUCAGUUGUAGAAUCACUGGUGAAUAAGGGGUGGGCAAGUUCUGGUGUCAGCCGCCGCGGUAAAACCAGCACCUCGAGUGGUCAGGAGGUUUAUUGGGCCUAAAGCAUCCGUAGCCGGUUGCAUAAGUUUUCGGUUAAAUCUAUGCGCUUAACGUAUAGGCCGCCGAAAAUACUGUGC
rnacentral:rRNA from 1 species